AAAUUGAAGAGUUUGAUCAUGGCUCAGAUUGAACGCUGGCGGCAGGCCUAACACAUGCAAGUCGAACGGUAACAGGAAGCAGCUUGCUGCUUCGCUGACGAGUGGCGGACGGGUGAGUAAUGUCUGGGAAACUGCCUGAUGGAGGGGGAUAACUACUGGAAACGGUGGCUAAUACCGCAUAACGUCGCAAGACCAAAGAGGGGGACCUUCGGGCCUCUUGCCAUCAGAUGUGCCCAGAUGGGAUUAGCUUGUUGGUGAGGUAACGGCUCACCAAGGCGACGAUCCCUAGCUGGUCUGAGAGGAUGACCAGCCACACUGGAACUGAGACACGGUCCAGACUCCUACGGGAGGCAGCAGUGGGGAAUAUUGCACAAUGGGCGCAAGCCUGAUGCAGCCAUGCCGCGUGUAUGAAGAAGGCCUUCGGGUUGUAAAGUACUUUCAGCGGGGAGGAAGGUGUUGUGGUUAAUAACCACAGCAAUUGACGUUACCCGCAGAAGAAGCACCGGCUAACUCCGUGCCAGCAGCCGCGGUAAUACGGAGGGUGCAAGCGUUAAUCGGAAUUACUGGGCGUAAAGCGCACGCAGGCGGUCUGUCAAGUCGGAUGUGAAAUCCCCGGGCUCAACCUGGGAACUGCAUUCGAAACUGGCAGGCUUGAGUCUUGUAGAGGGGGGUAGAAUUCCAGGUGUAGCGGUGAAAUGCGUAGAGAUCUGGAGGAAUACCGGUGGCGAAGGCGGCCCCCUGGACAAAGACUGACGCUCAGGUGCGAAAGCGUGGGGAGCAAACAGGAUUAGAUACCCUGGUAGUCCACGCCGUAAACGAUGUCUACUUGGAGGUUGUGCCCUUGAGGCGUGGCUUCCGGAGCUAACGCGUUAAGUAGACCGCCUGGGGAGUACGGCCGCAAGGUUAAAACUCAAAUGAAUUGACGGGGGCCCGCACAAGCGGUGGAGCAUGUGGUUUAAUUCGAUGCAACGCGAAGAACCUUACCUGGUCUUGACAUCCACGGAAGUUUUCAGAGAUGAGAAUGUGCCUUCGGGAACCGUGAGACAGGUGCUGCAUGGCUGUCGUCAGCUCGUGUUGUGAAAUGUUGGGUUAAGUCCCGCAACGAGCGCAACCCUUAUCCUUUGUUGCCAGCGGUUAGGCCGGGAACUCAAAGGAGACUGCCAGUGAUAAACUGGAGGAAGGUGGGGAUGACGUCAAGUCAUCAUGGCCCUUACGACCAGGGCUACACACGUGCUACAAUGGCGCAUACAAAGAGAAGCGACCUCGCGAGAGCAAGCGGACCUCAUAAAGUGCGUCGUAGUCCGGAUUGGAGUCUGCAACUCGACUCCAUGAAGUCGGAAUCGCUAGUAAUCGUGGAUCAGAAUGCCACGGUGAAUACGUUCCCGGGCCUUGUACACACCGCCCGUCACACCAUGGGAGUGGGUUGCAAAAGAAGUAGGUAGCUUAACCUUCGGGAGGGCGCUUACCACUUUGUGAUUCAUGACUGGGGUGAAGUCGUAACAAGGUAACCGUAGGGGAACCUGCGGUUGGAUCACCUCCUUA
rnacentral:rRNA from 1 species